ACGGGGGCCCGCACAAGCGGUGGAGCAUGUGGUUUAAUUCGAUGAUACGCGAGGAACCUUACCUGGGCUCAAAUGUAUGUUGACGUAUUCUGAAAGGGAUACUUCUUCGGACAAUAUACAAGGUGCUGCAUGGUUGUCGUCAGCUCGUGCCGUGAGGUGUCGGGUUAAGUCCCAUAACGAGCGCAACCCCUAUCAUUAGUUGCCAUCAGGUCAAGCUGGGGACUCUAAUGAAACUGCCUACGCAAGUAGUGAGGAAGGUGGGGAUGACGUCAAAUCAGCACGGCCCUUACGUCCAGGGCUACACACGUGCUACAAUGGCCGAUACAGAGGGCAGCUACCUGGUGACAGGAUGCAAAUCUCCAAAGUCGGUCUCAGUUCGGAUCGGAGUCUGCAACCCGACUCCGUGAAGUUGGAUUCGCUAGUAAUCGCGCAUCAGCCAUGGCGCGGUGAAUACGUUCCCGGGCCUU
rnacentral:rRNA from 1 species